AGCUCCAAUAGCGUAUAUUAAAGUUGUUGCAGUUAAAAAGCUCGUAGUUGAAUUUCGGGAUCUGUCCAUUGGUCGGGCCUCACGGUCCGUACUGGUGUGAUGGGUUCCUACCUUCUGAAUAACCAGCAUGCCAUUCAGUUGGUGCGCUGGGGAAGCAGAGCUAUUACCUUGAAAAAAUUAGAGUGCUUAAAGCAGGCUAGUGCUUGAAUAGAUUAGCAUGGAAUAAUAAAAUAGGACGGCAUGGUUCUAUUUUGUUGGUUUCUAGGAUCACCGUAAUGAUUAAUAGGGAUAGUUGGGGGCAUUAGUAUUCAAUUGUCAGAGGUGAAAUUCUUGGAUUUAUUGAAGACUAACUUCUGCGAAAGCAUUUGCCAAGGAUGUUUUCA
rnacentral:rRNA from 1 species